AGGACGAACGCUGGCGGCGUGCUUAACACAUGCAAGUCGAACGGUGAAGCCCUUCGGGGUGGAUCAGUGGCGAACGGGUGAGUAACACGUGAGCAAUCUGCCCUUGACUCUGGGAUAACUUCGGGAAACCGGAGCUAAUACCGGAUAUGACAUACGGCCGCAUGGUCUGUGUGUGGAAAGUAUUUAUGGUCAGGGAUGAGCUCGCGGCCUAUCAGCUUGUUGGUGGGGUAAUGGCCUACCAAGGCGACGACGGGUA
rnacentral:rRNA from 1 species